rnacentral:rRNA from 1 species
GACAGAGGCCUCAAGCGUUAGGCGGAAUCACUGGGCUUAAAGCGUGUGUAGGCGGAUCGUUAAGUGUCUUGUGAAAUCCCACGGCUCACCCGUGGAACUGCUGGGCAUACUGGCGAUCUUGGGCCAACUAGGGGCAGCCGGAACAAGCGGUGGAGCGGUGAAAUGCGUAGAUGAUCGGCUUGGAACGCCGGAAGGUGAAAACAGGCUGC